rnacentral:rRNA from 1 species
UCCUGGCUCAGGACGAACGCUGGCGGCGUGCCUAAUACAUGCAAGUCGAACGGUCUUUUCUAUGGAAGCUUGCUUCCACUGAGAAGAUAGUGGCGAACGGGUGAGUAACACGUGGGUAACCUGCCCAUAAGAGGGGGGAUAACAUCCGGAAACGGGUGCUAAUACCGCAUAGUUUUCUUGAUCGCAUGAUCGGGAAAGGAAAGACGGCCUUUGUGCUGUCGCUUAUGGAUGGACCCGCGGCGUAUUAGUUAGUUGGUGAGGUAACGGCUCACCAAGACGAUGAUACGUAGCCGACCUGAGAGGGUGAUCGGCCACAUUGGGACUGAGACACGGCCCAAACUCCUACGGGAGGCAGCAGUAGGGAAUCUUCCGCAAUGGACGAAAGUCUGACGGAGCAACGCCGCGUGAGUGAAAGAAGGUUUUCGGAUCGUAAAACUCUGUUGUCAGAGAAGAACAAGUUGGAGAGUAACUGCUCCAGCCUUGACGGUAUCUGACCAGAAAGCCACGGCUAACUACGUGCCAGCCGCCGC